UGAUGGCGAGUGGCGAACGGGUGAGUAAUAUAUCGGAACGUGCCCUAGAGUGGGGGAUAACUAGUCGAAAGACUAGCUAAUACCGCAUACGAUCUAAGGAUGAAAGUGGGGGAUCGCAAGACCUCAUGCUCGUGGAGCGGCCGAUAUCUGAUUAGCUAGUUGGUGGGGUAAAAGCCUACCAAGGCAACGAUCAGUAGCUGGUCUGAGAGGACGACCAGCCACACUGGGACUGAGACACGGCCCAGACUCCUACGGGAGGCAGCAGUGGGGAAUUUUGGACAAUGGGGGCAACCCUGAUCCAGCAAUGCCGCGUGAGUGAAGAAGGCCUUCGGGUUGUAAAGCUCUUUUGUCAGGGAAGAAACGGUUCUGGAUAAUACCUGGAGCUAAUGACGGUACCUGAAGAAUAAGCACCGGCUAACUACGUGCCAGCAGCCGCGGUAAUACGUAGGGUGCAAGCGUUAAUCGGAAUUACUGGGCGUAAAGCGUGCGCAGGCGGUUGUGUAAGUCAGAUGUGAAAUCCCCGGGCUCAACCUGGGAAUUGCAUUUGAGACUGCACGGCUAGAGUGUGUCAGAGGGGGGUAGAAUUCCACGUGUAGCAGUGAAAUGCGUAGAUAUGUGGAGGAAUACCGAUGGCGAAGG
rnacentral:rRNA from 1 species